rnacentral:piRNA from 1 species
UGUAAAUGUCACCUCAUGCUCAAAUGCUCCU